CGGGGUGUAGCUCAGCUUGGCUAGAGCGCCUGGUUUGGGACCAGGAGGUCGUAGGUUCGAAUCCUGUCACCCCGAC
rnacentral:tRNA from 1 species